AAAGAACACACCGUCUUUUCAAGCGCCAGCGAGCGCUCAGGGUGGAAGCCAGCGUGAUGCGCGUUGAAGCGACGGGUCUGAUGCCUGGCAUAGAGUGAGCGCUCAACAAACAGCUGUUGAAUUGGGAAGGACACAGGGGAGAGCUCGCUGUGUCUGGAGCGGGAACAGGAGCCCUCUCAGAGCCAGAGACCACGUCCUUUCCCACCUCUGCCCCAACCAGCUGCAUCCCCUCAGCCAAGUGCACCUUGUGGAACUCUAGCAAGAGGACGGAAGCAAAUUUCCUCUAAACUUCUUCCUAAACUCAAAAUUCCUAAAGAAGAAAUAAACUUUAUGGAGGAGAACUGGGAGCGGGAGUCAAGGGCCGGAGCCUGGAGGAGAGAGGCUGAGGCAGCACAGAGACAGCCGCUCUCUGCAAGGAAGGGAACUGAGCCCCUGGAACGGAACACCUCCCACAUGGCAGUUCAACAAUGGGCUUCUGGAGAUAAUGGU
ensembl:lncRNA